rnacentral:rRNA from 1 species
GAUGAACGCUGGCGGCGUGCCUAAUACAUGCAAGUCGAGCGAACGGACGAGAAGCUUGCUUCUCUGAUGUUAGCGGCGGACGGGUGAGUAACACGUGGAUAACCUACCUAUAAGACUGGGAUAACUUCGGGAAACCGGAGCUAAUACCGGAUGAUAUUUUGAACCGCAUGGUUCAAAAGUGAAAGACGGUCUUGCUGUCACUUAUAGAUGGAUCCGCGCUGCAUUAGCUAGUUGGUAAGGUAACGGCUUACCAAGGCAACGAUGCAUAGCCGACCUGAGAGAGUGAUCGGCCACACUGGAACGGAGACACGGUCAAGACUCCUAAGGGAGGCAGCAGUAGGGAACCUUCCGCAAUGGGCGAAAGCCUGACGGAGCAACGCCGCGUGAGUGAUGAAGGUCUUCGGAUCGUAAAACUCUGUUAUUAGGGAAGAACAUAUGUGUAAGUAACUGUGCACAUCUUGACGGUACCUAAUCAGAAAGCCACGGCUAACUACGUG